rnacentral:rRNA from 1 species
AUUGAACGCUGGCGGCAUGCCUUACACAUGCAAGUCGAACGGUAACAGGUCUUCGGAUGCUGACGAGUGGCGAACGGGUGAGUAAUACAUCGGAACGUGCCUAGUAGUGGGGGAUAACUACUCGAAAGAGUGGCUAAUACCGCAUGAGAUCUACGGAUGAAAGCAGGGGAUCGCAAGACCUUGUGCUACUAGAGCGGCCGAUGGCAGAUUAGGUAGUUGGUGGGAUAAAAGCUUACCAAGCCGACGAUCUGUAGCUGGUCUGAGAGGACGAUCAGCCACACUGGGGCUGGGACACGGCCCAGACUCCGACGGGAGGCAGCAGGGGGGAGUUUUGGACAGUGGGCGCAAGCCUGAUCCAGCAAUGCCGCGUGCAGGAUGAAGGCCUUCGGGUUGUAAACUGCUUUUGUACGGAACGAAAAGCCCUGGGUUAAUACCCUGGGGUCAUGACGGUACCGUAAGAAUAAGCACCGGCUAACUACGUGCCAGCCGCCGCGGUAACAC